AAGUUCUCAAAAGUAAAGCUUAAUGGGUUAUCAAAAGUAUAGCUCAAUCAAUCAUCAAUAGCUUUGCGAGAACAUAAAAAAGAAAUUAAAAUUUUAAAGCAAGAAACAAAGCUUGACGUUGAAUAUGAACGAUAAGAAUUCAAGAGCAACUUGUAGAAGAAAACGAGGAACAAAAUGAGCAAGCUGAAGAAACUAAAACUUGAAUGGUCUAAGAUUAAAGAAUCCAAAG
rnacentral:misc_RNA from 1 species